rnacentral:misc_RNA from 1 species
UUUCCGCAGGUGAACCUGCGGAGGGAUCAUUACUGAGUGAGGGCCCCUCGGGGUCCAACCUCCCACCCGUGUUUAACGAACCUUGUUGCUUCGGCGGGCCCGCCUCACGGCCGCCGGGGGGCAUUUGCCCCCGGGCCCGCGCCCGCCGAAGCCACCUGUGAACGCUGUCUGAAGUAUGCAGUCUGAGACAAUUAUUAAAUUAAUUAAAACUUUCAACAACGGAUCUCUUGGUUCCG